AAGACUAUAGACCUGCGGAGUACCUGCGGAGGGAUCAUUAGUGAACGCCCUCACGGGCUUAUAACUAUUCCAAACCUCUGUGAACCGUGCCCUUCGGGGCUAUUUUACAAACAUGGUGUAAUGAACGUCAUAUAUCAUAACAAAACAAAACUUUUAGCAAUGGAUCUCU
rnacentral:misc_RNA from 1 species